AAGGCCGGUAACGCAUCUGAUGACGACGAUGAGGUGCAUGAUGAGCUCUAAGUUAAGGAAAUUUAGUUUUAGUCUUUGGAUAAAACAUAUUUACUAAGAAUGGCAGACUGAUUUCUGUUUAGUUUGACCGCACUUCGUCGGCUUCACGCAUCCGCGUGCAGUCGAAAUACAUACCUUCACGUAAUUUUUGUACUUUAUAUUUGUAAAUGGUAUUUAUUUUUGUGAUCUUAAAAAAGCGUAACGCACAUAUUUCAAGUUUUUGUAUUAUCUCCGUCGUUUUAGUUAGUUUUUCUCUUCAGAGAAUUAAACGGAGGACGGAUUAGCAAACAUUUCGUGCAGGUGCGGCAUAUUAGGUCAAAAUAAGUUAGAAUAAAUAAUGAAAAUACUUUCUCUUUGUAUUAAUUGAAGAACAAAACAAAAUAUGAAUUAAAUAAAACAUUUAAUUUUUUAACACUGU